rnacentral:rRNA from 1 species
UACGAAGGGGGCUAGCGUUGCUCGGAAUUACUGGGCGUAAAGCGCACGUAGGCGGGUCGCUAAGUCGGGGGUGAAAUCCUGGAGCUCAACUCCAGAACUGCCUUCGAAACUGACGAUCUUGAGUUCGGGAGAGGUGAGUGGAACUGCGAGUGUAGAGGUGAAAUUCGUAGAUAUUCGCAAGAACACCAGUGGCGAAGACGGCUCACUGGCCCGAUACUGACGCUGAGGUGCGAAAGCGUGGGGAGCAAACAGG